rnacentral:rRNA from 1 species
GAGUAAUGCAUCGGAACGUACCGGAAGUGGGGGAGUAACGUAGCGAAGUUACGCUAAUACCGCAUAUUCUGUGAGCAGGAAGCGGGGGAUCGCAAGACCUCGCGCUUCCGGAGCGGCCGAUGUCGGAUUAGCUAGUUGGCGGGGUAAAGGCCCACCAAGGCAACGAUCCGUAGCGGGUCUGAGAGGAUGAUCCGCCACACUGGGACUGAGACACGGCCCAGACUCCUACGGGAGGCAGCAGUGGGGAAUUUUGGACAAUGGGGGCAACCCUGAUCCAGCCAUGCCGCGUGAGUGAAGAAGGCCUUCGGGUUGUAAAGCUCUUUCGGCUGGGAAGAAAUCGCAUCUCCUAAUACGGGGUGUGGAUGACGGUACCAGCAUAAGAAGCACCGGCUAACUACGUGCCAGCAGCCGCGGUAAUACGUAGGGUGCGAGCGUUAAUCGGAAUUACUGGGCGUAAAGCGUGCGCAGGCGGUUUCGUAAGACAGAGGUGAAAUCCCCCGG